UCUGCAAGUCCUGAGUCAUGCAUGGGCAUGUGACUUGCCCAUGUGAUUCCAAAUUUCCAUUUUGUGACUGGAUUCUACACAGGGGGAGGGAGGGGUGUCUACCCAGAAGGGAAAGUCUAUUUAAACCCCUGGGACACCCUUCCAUGUUGACUUCAGCUGACUAAAGAGCGAGCCUCUCCACCCCCCACCCCAGGAUACUGAAAAAAACUGGAGGGACAGAGACUGCAAGGAGUACCCCACUGGGGCUUGGCAUCUGGGUGCUAAAGACAAGCACACUUCUGUGAGCUGCUUUCAGGUAAACCUGCAGCUUUGGAGCAAGUAAUUCAGACCCUGGGUCUUUCUUGGAGCAGACAGAAGUAUCUGGCUCAGCAAGACAGGGUGCUGAAGUCUUGAGCUGGCAGGGAAAACAGGCGCAAAGGUAGUCUGGGAACAUCAGGCGGCAGCUCCCAAGGGGUUUCUGUGAUCCAACCCAUCACAAGGAGCUUUUAAGGAAUUCUCACUCAAUUUUGCUCCAUUACAAGCUGUGAUCCAGUACAUAAUGCAUUCAAGAAUCCAGCUGGAAAUUACCACUAGAGAACAUCUGUCCUUGCUCUUCAGCUUGCCAGGCUUGCCUAAGGGAUCCAAGAUAGAAAAUAACUAGCUGCCACACAAAAAAACAAACUUUUUAUUCUAUUUAUGGGCUUUAACGCCAAUGGAAAUUUGGAGCUUCAGUGUGUUUUCUUUGUUAGAUGACAUUUUUGGAAGACAUGUUGCAUAUCUUAUUUAAAACUAUUCUCUUAUUUUACCAUCUGUGAUCUUGUUUAAAAAAUAAGCACUUCUAACAAAGGAUACUAUGAGCAUACAUGAUUAUCUGUAAGGUAAAAAAAACAGGAGGAAAGAAGAAACACUCAGGAAAGUAGGCCCAUUCCGCCUUCAAGUGAAACUAGCUGCAUUUGUAUAUAGAAUCUCAACUUAUUUUCUAAUAAAAGUACUGUAUCAUAUAGCAUAUAAUUAUAUCUAGCAGCUUCUAACUGAGGGCAGUCUCCAAAUCAAGUUACAGGAUGUGUGUGCGCAUGAAUACAGCGGAAACUUGCUAAUUCACAAUGAUGACUGGGAGACUAUUGUGAAUUACUAAAUUGUACCAUUUAGCAAAUGAACACAUUCACCACCACCAAAAAUGCUACUUUGAAAAAUGUACUUUGUUAAUUUGUUUUGAUAACUGCAAUUUUAAUUAAAAUAUUUUAUAUUGUA